GACGAACUGUGCAAACGUUAUUCGGAAUCACUGGGCUUGAAGAGUGCGUAGGCGGUUUCGUAAGUAGAGUGUGAAAGCCCCCGGCUCAACCGGAAAACUGCGUCCUAAACUGCGGGGCUGGAGUGAGGUAGGGGUGUGUGGAACUUCCAGUGGAGCGGUGAAAUGUGUUGAUAUUGGAAGGAACGCCGGUGGCGAAAGCGACACACUGGGCCUUGUCUGACGCUGAGGCACGAAAGCCAGGGGAGCAAACGGG
rnacentral:rRNA from 1 species